CGCCCGCCGCGGACGCGGCCCGCUGCCCGGGCCUCGGCGGCCGCCAACUCCCUCCUCCUCCAAAUCCUCCUCCUCCUCAGCUGCCAACCCUAAGGCCGCCGGCUGCCGAGUGCAACCGGGAGGUGGAAUCCCUCUGACAGAGGGCAUCCCUUUCCAGUGUUGGGGCCCAAGAGCAGAGCGGCGCAUCCCACCCACGGGUCCCGCCUAAGACCCCUGAAGGGGUAGAAAAGAGAGGAACCACCACGAGGAGAACCGACAGCGAGCCAGGGACCCGCGGGAAGGCAUUUAAGGAGUUUGAGAAGACUCUUGCGAUGCCCCUAAUCAACUGGGAGCUUUGUGAGUAUAGCGGCAGACUAGGAUUCACAACCGAUGAUCAGCAGUACCCAAGAACAGCCCACAGUGAAGCUGGAGACCACAAAAGGCCCACAGCCCACACCUCUGCAGAGCAUUUUGGAGAAGACAGGUGGAAGAUAAAGUAAGGCCAAACCUCAUGACUGGCCGGUGACUUGGUGAAGGCUGUCCCUGAGCAAAAAUUUUUGCACCAUGCUGGUGGAAGGAACCGAAACCAGUCUGAAUGAAGAUCAGCUGGUCUUUUGCGGUCCCGUUCCAGAUGGGACAUUUACCCUGACUCUGAGGUUGUUCUAGCUUUAUGGUAGGGUCUCCUAUCAGAAUCCACAUCUUCGGUGUUACUUUUAUUGUUGUUUUCCUUUCUUACUUAGUGCCAGAGAAAAUGCUGCCUCUUCCGACUAACAGUAUCUUAGAUGAAAUACAGUAUAUUUGAAAUAAUGAUUAUGCAACUUAAGAAACACAUAGACAAUAUUUUCCACACCUUAAGUAUUCCUCAAAGACAUUAUUUUAAUGAUUGCCCAUGAUUCAUA